GAGGUAAAUAUUCUUGCGCAGAACUCAGCAGGAAAGAUCCAGAGAGAAGCCAUGGCUGGUUUGCAAAGAUCUGCCGUGUCUUUUAGGAGGCAAAGAUCUUCUGGUAUUGUAUGGGAUGAUAAGUUUUUGUCAGGAGAGCUCAACCAGGUCGCUAACCAAAACCAAGAACGCCAACAACAGCAGGUGCACUGGAUGCAAGUGCACCAGCAGGUGCACUGCAAAAUGCGUGCACAGGGCAAGUGCACCAGCAAUUGGACUCCUAAAAUUCUUUUUUGUUUAGCAAAAAAGAAAACAAAUGAUGAAUUUUCAAGAUGAACUCAUGAGAAAACCAACAAAUGAGCCAAACCUGAGGCCAAUUUCUGCUUCAACAAACUCAAACUUAGCUCAUUUAUGAAUCAAAUUUUAAAUUUACACUCUAACUUGUUAAAUGACCUCAAAAGAUAUUCACAUGUAACUCAUUUAAUCCAUAUCUCCUCACUAUAUUUAUAAAUUAAACUAAAAAUAUAUACAAAAUAUAUGAUGGCCCAAAUUAGAUGUCUAAAAUACCCGAAAAAAAUGACAUCAAUAUAAAUUUCAGUACCUGUCAAGUGCAUCAGCAUGUGCAGAGGAUAAAUUAAAAAAAUAUAAAACAUGAAUCAGGUAAAAUAUUUCACAAAAAUCAAGGGGUACAGAAGAUAAUUUCAUAAAUUUCACAAAAAUUAAUAAUUUUAAAAAUAUAAAACAUUUCACAAAUAAUUUUACAAGACUGAAAUACAUAUAAGAAAAUAGAUACCUGUGGACAGUGUCCGUCGAUAAUGGCAAGAUCGGAGAGAGAGGCUAACUCGUGGACCGUGAUGCCGAGGAACAGAUCGUCGAUAGAGUCGGUGGACGAUGGUUAGCGGCAGCAAAGCGACAGCGGUGAAAGACCCAAUGGUUGACGGCGCAGAUGAUUUUGAGAGAGAUUUUGAGAGAGAUUUUGAUUUUCCAAUCUCAAGGAUUUUGUAAUUUGGUAGUAUAUUAUAUAAAAAGUUAUAUUUAAUUUUUCAAUUAUUAUAUAUAUUAUAUAAUAAAUUAAUAUUUAUUUUAUUAAUAUAAUAAAAUAAUAUAUAUCCUUAUCAAUAUUUUAACAUAAUUUACCAAAUGCCUAAUAUAUAUUAAUUAAAAUUACCUAUCAAUUAUUAUCUAUUAACAAUAAUUAUCCGUCACAUCUAACAAUUAAAUUAAAUAGCUACUAAAUAUUUUAAAAUAUUUAUAUUAAUUACUGCUAAAUAUUUAAAUUAAUUUGAUUCAUAAAUUUAAUUUAAUAACAAAUAAAUUUGAAUAAAAUUAAAAAAUCUCAUAUUCUAUUUUUUUAAUUUUUAAUUUUUAAUUUAAAAAAAAUUUAACUUAUUAAUUGAUUUAAUAAUAAUAAUAAUAAUAUUUUUAAAUAUGCUGUUGUAUUAUUAAAAUAUUUAACAAUUUAUGUUAUUAAUUUAUUCUUAAAAUUAUGAACGGUUGUUUCUUAAUGUGUAUUAAAUAAUAAUAAAUUAAGUAUUAAAGAAAGUAGGGUUGAAGUAAAAAAUAAAUUAAAUAAAACGAGCUGGCCGCUUCCAGUGUAGAUCGUAGAGGAUGAGUAAAGCCAGGUCAGUUAUGGUAGAAAAAUAAAACUCAAUCACGUUUGCAGCCAUUUAAAAAAAAAAUUAUAAAUAAAUUAAGCAAUAAUUACUAUAUAUAAUGAAAAUUUUUAUUUAUUAAUAUUUUAAUUUUAAAAAAAUAUAUGUUAAAAAUUUUAUUAAUUAAUCUUUUUAUUAAUUUUACUAUUAAAUAUUUUAUUAAUUAAUUUUUUAUAUUUUUAAAAAAUUUAUUAAUCAAUUAUGAAAUUCAAUAUUUUAUUGAAAAUUAACAACAGAUUAAACUUUGAUUUCCAUCAGUGUGUGAAUAUAAAAGAAACCCUCAGGUCGUAUAUGCGCAAUUAAAGAACACACAGAGGUAAAUAUCCUUGCGCAGAACUCAGCAGGAAAGAUCCAGAGAGAAGCCAUGGCUGGUUUGCAAAGAUCUGCCGUGUCUUUUAGGAGGCAAGGAUCUUCAGGUAUUGUAUGGGAUGAUAAGUUUUUGUCAGGAGAGCUAAACCAGGUCGCUAACCAAAACCAAGAACACCAACAACAGCGAGAGCUACAAGAGAAGCUAGAUAUCAAUCAAGAAAGGGAUGUUAAGCCAUCAUCAUCAGGAUCAAUCACUACCAUUGAAAGAAGCCGAUCUAACGGUGGACAACGAGCCUACCGCACCGGCAAGGUCUCUCCGGCUAUCGAACCUCCUUCUCCAAGGGUUUCUGCUUGUGGAUUUUGCAGUGCUUUUGGAAAACCAACAAAGAAUCAUCGGAAAAGGGCCGGUAAGCCCAGAUCACGAUAGUUUUCCACUUUUUACGGUAGCUGGGGAUGGAAUAUUCCGGUGAAUUUGGGGGGAGAGGGAUAUGAUUAAUUACAGUAUUACCACUAUUUACAUCUUCUGUCAGGGUAGGGUUAAGACCUCUCGUUCAGCUCACUAGACUGAAACGCAGGGGCUUGUUUUUGGAACAGAACCGAGCUAUAUUCUUUUUCUUGUCCUGUUAAUUUAGCCAUGAUCAUUUCAUUGAGUUUCUCUUUUUCCCCUUAGAUUUUAGAGAUGGUUUUCUGUUUUAGCCGGAUCCAAUUAUGUGUAUAUGGUUUGGUUCUUGAUCAGGAAAUUUUACUUUUGUUCUGUACAAAAAGAAAAUCUCGAUUCUUUCUCUGUUCUUGAUAAUAUUUUUGUGUGAUU
rnacentral:lncRNA from 1 species